GAUGAACGCUGGCGGCGUGCCUAAUACAUGCAAGUCGAGCGAACGGACGAGAAGCUUGCUUCUCUGAUGUUAGCGGCGGACGGGUGAGUAACACGUGGAUCACCUACCUAUAAGACUGGGAUAACUUCGGGAAACCGGAGCUAAUAACGGAUAAUAUCUUGAACCGCAUGGUUCAAAAGUGAAAGAUGGUCUUGCUGUUACUUAUAGAUGGAUCCGCGCUGCAUUAGCUAGUUGGUAAGGUAACGGCUUACCAAGGCAACGAUGCAUAGCCGACCUGAGAGGGUGAUCGGCCACACUGGAACUGAGACACGGUCCAGACUCCUACGGGAGGCAGCAGUAGGGAAUCUUCGGCAAUGGGCGAAAGCCUGACGGAGCAACGCCGCGUGAGUGAUGAAGGUCUUCGGAUCGUAAAACUCUGUUGUUAGGGAAGAACAUAUGUGUAAGUAACUGUGCACAUCUUGACGGUACCUAAUCAGAAAGCCACGGCUAACUACGUG
rnacentral:rRNA from 1 species